rnacentral:lncRNA from 1 species
AUUGCAUGAGACCCUAUCUCAAAAGGAAAACUAAAUCUAAAAUCCAGACUCGUGGAAACUAGAAGAUGGUGGUAGUUUAAAACAAAGGGAAGUGGCUGAUACUCCAGCUUUUAAGAUCUGCUUACCUGUGAGCUUCUCCAUGGAAACAGGAAAAAAAAAAAAAAAGGUACAUCUGUUGGAACCUACCUCUUCAGGAUUCCAGCUUCUACAGAAGACCAGCUGGAAUACCUAGCCUCAUGGGACUGAGCAAUUAUUAGAUUCUUGUACUUCCCAUUCACAGCUACCCACUGCUGGAUUAGUUAGACUCUUAGGACCCAAGAACAGGGAAUGGUGCCAACUACUUUUAGGCCAUUGUUCACUGCCUGGAAACAUCUUCUGUAUAUGUCGCUCUGCCACAGCACUUGGUUCAGGGGUUUCUCAGCUAGACUCUGAUGAUGGAAGAGAAAAGAAGAGAAUGUUGUUGACUGGACCCAGUGGAGGCCAUAGGGUCCUGAUCCGUGAUUUGGGAUUGGAGAAAGUGCCUUUGAAGAGGAAAGACUUUUAUCUGGUCAUCCAAUCCUCCUGUGCACCAUGUUUUCACUUAGCAAAUGUUUGUUGAGCUUGUUUCAUGCCAAGCUCAGGGUACUUGCUAGUGACUCAACAGCCAAGGGAAGGCCUUGCUGUAGUGGACAGCAUGUGUGAGUUUGAAGAAAUGCAGAAGAAACUCAAGAACAGUGGGGUAGAAGUGUGGGGAGGAAAGACUGAUGUAACAGAGCAGCAGAGACAAAACCAAUGAAACACUCCGAUUCUUAUAUGAUGAGGAUUCUUACAUAAUGAUCUCCACUCAGUGCUCAAGAACUGGCUAGCCAGGAAUUCCUUACAAUAGAAGGAAUGUAUACAACUAUAGGCAGAACAGACUCAUCUACCAUCUAAUCAGGUUGCCUGGCAUCAACAAGGGACUCUUCUGCUUCAAGGAGUAUAAUGUGGGUCACUCUGCACCCUAUGACUGGGAAGUCCUUGAAGAUCCGAAGAAAACUUAAACACAUACAUGUGCAUCAUCCUUUCUUCUCUUUAGGAGUCUCAUGGAACUAGCUUGCAACUCCUUAUACCCAGCUCAUGUCAGUUUACUCAGAUUUCUUAUGAGCCUCUUGACUUCAAUAGUGGAAGACUCUAUCCAACGUCCUUCACAUCAAGCUGAGAACUGACUAGUAUUGCUUCUACUCUCUUUUACUCACCAAAGUAAGUGAAGUAGCCACUCCAGAUUCAACAAGACAAAAGGUACACUUUGGUGAGCAGAGUGAUGUAUGUCCACAUAAGAAAGGGAGGAACUGAUGGUAUCAUUUUCAGAGACUUUUUAUAUUAUCUUUCAGUUUGGUUAAGACCAGUAAUCUAUAAGCCUUACCUCUGAAAAUUAUUGAUCCUUGCACAGAACAAAAGUGAUCGCAAUGCCCAUUUGGACCAUGUGAGUGUCUGAGACCACUGAUUAUUGGUAUACAAAAUUUGAAAACUUUUGGGAUUCUUGUUUGUUUGUUUGUUUGUUUGUUUGUUUCAAAUACUGAUAAGAAGUGGCUUGGUUUACCAAUUCUAAUAUGAAGAAGUACAGGCCAUUGCUCUAUGUUUGUGUUACACGUCUAUAAAACCUAAGGAAGCCUAGGAGGGAAAAAUAUGAUCAAGUGGGCAGAACAUGGGCACAGAAUGGCUUACACUCCUCUAACUGCUGAAGAUGCUGCUCUAAGUUCUCUGAGGUGAUGGUUUGCCUUGAGAGAAGUCCAUAUGAUACCAUGUUUUUCUAGAGUGUUCUGAUUCUCAGGGUGAUGGUGUAUGCAGAUAAUGGCUGGCUCCUUUAAUGUAUGCAUUAUAUGAACUUUGUGCUACUAAGCAACAUUACUUUUUUUUUUUAAGUGCUAUCUUCACAGAAGCAUUUAGUCUCCUAAGAACAACAACAAAAAAUCGUUUCAGAAAUUUAUGAGGGAAGGAGAGAAGAACAAACAACUUAGUAUUAUUUAAUGAGCAUGGGUUAUGAGUAAAAAUAUGAAAGUGAAUGUAUUAAAUGAAAUUCCCAAAAGACUUUCUCUGAUAUUGCUAAGUUGCGUGCAUGCAUGUGUGUGUGUGUGUGUGUGUGUGUGCACCUUCAUUUUCCAGAACACUGAUUCCAUAUCCUUAGAAGGGUCACAGCUGCUGCUGGCAUGUUUCGAGAGGGAGCCUUGAGGACGCCCCAGUGCUUUAAGCUAGGGAACAGCAGAGAUUGAAUCUGAAGUCACCAUCAGAGAGAGAAAAAGAACAGGUUACAAAAGAUGGGCAAGGUGCCUGGAACUUCAUGCCUGUGUUGUCUCCUUUGUGUAAAAGGGGAAAUCCAAGAAUCCAUGCCUACCUCUGAUAUACCAGUGCAUCCUUGGCUUAUUGGAGUAAAGCUAAGAGAACAAUGACUACAUUAUUUCAUAAGCUACCCUUUGAUCCAGUUUGGAACUAGUAUUUGUUUUAUUCCACUUUGUACUGCCUUAAUGGAAUGCCUGCAACUGGGUAAUUGUAGUUGACAGAGACUCAUUUCUUAAACUUCUGUAAGCAGGGAAGUCCAAGGUCACGGAGCCAUAUGGUAAGGGUCUGCUUGCUGUAUCAUACCGUGGCAGAAGCCAAAAGCCCAUGCAAAAGUACAAACACGUGAGGGAGCAAACUCAGCCUUCCCCUAGGAACCCCUCCCUGAAUGACUAACUGACUCUUGCAAUAAGGGCAUUAAUCCAUUCACGAGGCAGAGACUCAUGAGCUGUACACAAAGCUGUUCUAUUUCUCACAUACAAAUUUCUCAAGCUCAAGCAGUGCUGUUAUUCUUUUCUAUCUCUAGAUGUUAUCUUAUAUCUUUAGAGCCUCUUUCAAAUGCACAGGUCAGUGAUCAACAAUACAGAGGAACCCUGAGGUUCUUGUCUGGAAGUGCUGUAAAUAGCAAUUAGGAUAACGUUUUUCCACACCCAACAUUGCAUUCUUGGGAGAGGGACAUAGAUAGCUUAGAGGGCAGGAAGGAAAAACACUAGAAUGGGUCAUUGUCUACUGUGUAGGAGCUGCUCUGCUGGGUCUUUACAGUGUAUAUCUCUUUAUACAUUUUUAUAACUCUGCAGUGUGUGUGAAAUGACUGCUACUUCAUGACUGCACAGCAAAGCUUAGAGACUGAAUCAACUAAGAACGGAAGAAUUAAAAAUCCACAGCAUCUAGUCAGAGCCUGUUAUGUAAGAGUAAGGUAAACAAUUCAAAAAGACACGUCAGAGGGUUUUCUGCCCCCAAUAGAAGAUCAUCCUAUCCAUGUAAGAAAAAACUAUAUAGCUGCCUGAAUCAGAAUGUGACAGAAAAACAGAAAAACAAACAAACAAAAAAGUGACAGAAGAAUCUGGCAAAAGAAUUUUAAGGGGUGUAACGUCAGUGAUUUCAAUAAGCUUGCCUGGGACUGAGGAGGCAGCUCAGUGGUUAAAGCAUUUGUCAAGCAGGUUUGAGCCGCUGAAUGCUAAUCCCCUGAAUCCAUGUGGAGCUGGGGAUGGUAACGUGCUUUGUAUAAUACCAUUGUUGCCUCAAUGAAAUAAGAGAAGGAGACAUCAGAAUCAUCGUAGGUUUGCACGCACACCCAGGGGUGAAAGACAGGCAAACCGUCUCAAACCAAGAGGAAGGGAAGGGUAACAUUUGAGGUUGUCCUCUGAGCUCCACAAGCAUCCUGUCGCUCCUGCAGCCUCACAAACAUGAAUAUGUAUAUACCCAUAUGUAAGUAUUAAGCAUGCACACAUAAACAAACAUGUACACAACAAACAAAUAGAUACAUUUUCUUAAUAUGUGAAAAACAUUUAGACAGAUGAUAUUUUUCGCUUUUAUCCAACAGACAACUGUAAAUGCUAGUUUUUGGUCCAAAGCAAAGCAAAAACAACUAUAUGAAAAAUUCUCCUAAGUGAAAAAUUAUAAUGUUAUUAUUUUCUGAAAACCCAGAAAACUAGACAUCCAAUAAAUGAAGUAAGCAGGAUUUUUUUUUCAAGUUGACUAUUGGAAAAAUGGAGAAAUCAUAAGUUAAAAAUAGAAAUUAAAUCUAGGAAUUAGUGGAAAGAUAAUUAUUUGUCAUCAGAAUCCACUGAUUACAAAUGUAUAGCAUAUUGUGAGGAACAUAUUGUGUAAAUUGUCUUUAUUGUUUUUUUCUAUGAAUAAAUAUUAUGUUUGG